UACGUAGGUCCCGAGCGUUGUCCGGAUUUAAUGGGCGUAAAGCGAGCGCAGGUGGUUUAUUAAGUCUGGUGUAAAAGGCAGUGGCUCAACCAUUGUAUGCAUUGGAAACUGGUAGACUUGAGUGCAGGAGAGGAGAGUGGAAUUCCAUGUGUAGCGGUGAAAUGCGUAGAUAUAUGGAGGAACACCGGUGGCGAAAGCGGCUCUCUGGCCUGUAACUGACACUGAGGCUCGAAAGCGUGGGGAGCAAACAGG
rnacentral:rRNA from 1 species